AUCCAGAUUGAACUCCAUUUGCCAUUUUUAAGCCCAGUGAUCCAUUUGAUCAAAAUUUCUUUGUAAUCUUAGUAAAUAGUGAAGAAGGUUUUCUAUGCCACCAAUUUUGGUGUCGUCCACAAACUUACUAACUCGGCCUUCUCUAUCAAUUCCUUCCUGCUCCAUGAACUGAUUUCUCUGCUGAACUAAGUUAUUUAUACUGUUCACUUCAGUUUUCGUUUUGAGUACUAUUUUUAACAGUUCAACUUGUUGCAUCAAAUCAUUACCUGAUGAUGAGUAAUGUCCCUGUGCAAAUUAAAUUGUCAGCCUUUCAAAGAAUGAGAGAUGUUUCCAGGUUUCCUUCAUAAAUUUUUCAGUGUUAUUACUGUAAUGAUAAAUGAUUUUUUUCUCAAUAAUUUGAAAUUGAUUUGUGUUAUUGCAAAGCAUCAUUAAAUUUAAAUAAAUGUUGAAAAUAUCAGCAAGUCUGUAGGCAGCAUCUGGAGAGAGAGAGAGAGAGAAACAGAGUUAAUGUUUUGGGUCAAGGAUCUUCCUUCAGAACUAAAUUAAUUGAUUGAAAACAUAGAUUUUGUGUAAGUGAAAGGAAGGGGGGACAAUGAACAAAAAGGGAGCAUUAGUCUUCGGUACUGUUACCAGAAUGUCCAUGUUUUCAGCUGCUUUCUAAUGUUGUUUAGAUUGACUGACUGAAAACUGGGAACUGUGAUGUGAGAACUUAAGAAGACUGAGAUGGGUCAUCCACUUGGAACUUCCGGCUAAAGAUUGCAGCAACCGACUGCUGUAUGUGGAGAUUGAUGUGCCUACUUACCACCCACUGACUUUGAUUGCUGUAACUGGCUCAAACAGACAUAAUAUAUGCUCAGUGCCUCAAUGUUGCAAAAUGGUUCUGGGAAACUGGCUGUUUUGGUGUUUUCAUUUGCUUACCAUUCUCAUAGUUAUCUCCUUAGUCCUGGAACUCAAUGCAGUGCCCCUCUGGCCUUGACCAUUACAGUAUAUAAUUUACUCAAACUUUUUACUACUUAUAUCCCUCUCAUUUUCGAUAGCCCUCAGCUGGGGAAGCAGUGGCCAUUUUCUGGAUGCUUCCUGCAUAAAGUCAGCAACCAAAUAGAGAGACAAUCACUUGAUCUGUAUCCAAAAGAUGAUGCAUCCACAGUGAGAAAACUUGGUGAUGAGAGAUCUAGUCAGUUAAAGAUGAAAUGUUUUCACUUUUAAAUUGGGAAAACUACUAGUUUAAUUGAGCACAAAAUUAUAGAAUAAGAAAAUAUAACUAAACACUAUUGGUCCAAGUUGAAAUUUGGAUAGUUGCAUGAAGUUGCCUGUUCCAGUUAGUGAUUGCAUUAUCUGGAAUGGAUAAAGUUUAUCAACUUCUCAGCCAAUUCAGGAUACAAAAUGAUAGAAAAUCGAAGUGUAAGUAGGCCCUUCAAGCCAUCGAGCCUCUUUUUCCAUUCAGUAUGAUCAUAGUUGAUCCUCUACCUCAAUGCCAUACUCCCAUUAUCUAUCUAUACCCUUUGCUUUUAUUUUUCUAUUGAAACAAGACUUCUGUCCCAUCCGCAAAGGUAAUUAAAACAAACUCCAGGAAAUCAAAUUUGAUCGUAAUGUUCAAAUCAUAGUUCCAUCAAGUAUGCACUAACAUUAGCCAUUGCGAUGAAUGAUAUCACUUCCUUUUAUACUGCAUAUCCAGGUGUUUUGAAGUUUUCAUUAUGUAGAACGUUACUAUUUAACUAGCCUUAUGCAUAUAGUUUACAGACAGAAUUUACUUUUUGCCCUUAUUUCUCUCUGCUAAAUGUCAUAUCCCCCAGGAUUCAUUCACAAUUUUUCAGAACUUGGCUGAAUAUCCCAACAUAGAGUUCUCAAGUUAACCACCACCUCUCCCAAACGUCUUGAUAACCAAGAGUAUUUAAGCUUAUGAUCAUUCUAGUGGCUGACAUUGAGCAGGAUAAAUUUAAAGUUCAAAUACUAAUUGGCCUAUAGGUAGCCUCUCUGCAUCCCAGCAAUCGUUUUUGUGCAUGUUCUGUCUUUCUCAUUCUCUAGCUCUUGCUCUCUUUUUCUUGUUCUCACUUUCGUGAAAUAAAUAGGUAUGGUUAUCUACUUCAGUUCAACAUUGCAACAGAUCCAUUGCUGAAAUAUUAAACCUGUCUUUUCUUUCUGCCCUUUAGAUGUUGAUGGACCUACCAUAUGGCUUCAACAUUACCGCCACUUAUUACGCAUUUGGACAAAAAUUCUGCAUUUGCAUUCUGAGCAUAAAAUAACAACUCUAGGUUUAAUGGAUAUUAAUUUCAUAAAGUUUUCCUGAAAUUUAUAAAAAAAAAAUCUAACUUUUCUAUUUCCAGCCAAAACAAUGUAGUUCUGUGAUUUGGUAUUUUUGGCAUCUAAAUAUAUAUCCAUCAAAAUACUAGGGAAAAGGUAACCUGACUUUAAAUCAAAUCAUAAGUAGUGUGAGAACUUAGAAACCUAGCAAUGACUGGAUAAAAAAGCUUUGCAUUAAGCUGCUUGCGUUGAUCUGUGGAAGGUGCAGUGAGUUAUAUUAUUGGUGGGUUUCUAUCUGUGAGAUGACUCCAACCAUUCUAUGAACUGAAAGUUUGAAUAAUCAGCUGGAGUUGUGACUGUGGCUAUGAUAACAUCCUUGACUGUGCGUUACCUGUUAACUCCAUGCUUGCUGAGGGAAGUUAAGAGUCCACCAUGUUUCUGUGCAUUUGGAGCAACAUGAGGGCCAGACCAGAUCCCUGCACAGCUUCAAGUUGAUGAGAUGUUGAUACAGUGAAAUCAAGAUGAGUCAAUCCCAGGUGAUCUAUCCACACUGGGAGAUUCCAGAGAGCAGAGAACAAUCCUCAACUCAAUUUGUCUACAAAUUCACUGCCCACACGAAACAAAUCCCUAAGGAAAUACAAAGUAAAGCUGCAAAGUGUGAAAAAAUGUCUGUCUUCAUGUUUUUUGUGUUCUACUCCUGCUACAUGCGAUGUUUGUUUGUCCCCAGUUUUCCCACUAGCUGUGUUGACUUCACUUUCUCUCUGCUCGAAAACACUAAAUGUUCUCAGAGGUGUUCUUGCAGUUUGGAUGGUCCUCACGCACAAAGAGAUUCUGACGAUGGAUUGCCCAGAGCUCGGAGAAUUCUCACACUAGCCUGCACUAACGCUAUUCCAAUUAGCUGCCCCUGUCACAUGACAAUCCUAUUGGAUGCCCUAUUCUGCUGAUGACAAUAGCUGACAUCCUGACACAAACAGGAUGAUGGGUUUUCCAAAUUAGACUCAUUACAAUUUCACUGUAUUUACAUGGGAGCCACAUGAGUAAUAUUCAUACACCAACAACUUGCAUUGAUAUGGCAUCUUUAACAUAGUAACAUAACCCAGAGCCAUUCAUAGGUGCAUUAACAAACAAAGUUUAUCAUUGAACCACAUAAAACAAUAUUAAUUGAACCCAAAUCUUGCUCAACACUUACAAAAGGAUGACAGAGAGGUUUUUGCAGGGUUCAGAAUUCAGAAUUCCAGAGUUUAGUGACCAGACAGUUGAGGAAAUGUCACUGAUGGUGUAAUAGAAGUUGGGGGAUGCUCAAGAAUCCAGAAUUACAGCAAUGCAAAUAUUUCAGAGAGAUUAAGGACUGGGGUACACAGAAAUACAGAAGGAUGUAGUCAUGGGUGGAUUUGAAAAGAAGGGUGUGAACUUUGAAACCAGGAUGUUGGUUACCUGGGAGCUCACAUCAGUCAACAGGUGCCCAAGACUUGGUGAGGGAUAGGAAAUAGGUGACGGAGAUAUUGAUGACCACAUGUUUACAGAGGGUAGAAUGUGAGUGCACUGGAAUAGUCAUGUGGAGAAGGUAUGGCUGAGGGUUUCAGCAGCAGAUCAGCUGAUGCUAGGGAAAAGUCAGGUGAUGUGGCAGAGAUGGGAAUAGACAGUCUCUGUGACAGAGUCUAGAUGCAAAUUCACAACAAGUAGCAAGGCUCCACACAUCAGGUUAUAAAAUGGAAAAUAAAUCAGAGAGUGUGCAGAAAAGAUUGACAUGAUGUGUCCAAUGUCAGUGACAGAAUAUUUGGGAGAUAGUGGUUAUUUGGUGGGAGUGAGGGAUGGCUGUGGAAAGGAUAAUGAAUAAUCCAGAGUAACAACUGGCAUUUUAAGUGCUCAUCCAGACAUUUCUUAAAUGUUGAGAGAGUACCUGUCUCCACUAUGCUCUCAGAAACAAAAUAAACUUCAGAUGCUGGAAUCCAAGGUAGACACGUAGGAGGUUGAGAGAACAUAGCAAGCCAGGCAGCAUCAGGGGAGCUGCAGAUGAAGUGGGUGGCGGGGACAGGAUGGUGAGGUGGGCAUAGAUGAAGACAGGUGGAAGAUACGAGCUGGUUGGUCGAUGGGGGGAAUGAAUCUGCUAGGUGGCUGGGAGGAGUGGAAGGGAAGGGGAGAGGCAGGGAAGGGAGCCGAGGGGAAGGGAAGGGAAGGGAAG